ensembl:miRNA
AAGGGCACGAGGUUGAAGGACCUAGGGAGCUGCACAGCGGGGCCAGGUGGCAGGGAAAGAGUCGCAGCUGUGCCCCUGCCUCGUCUUGUCGCCCUGGAACCUCUCAUGUGCAAACCGAGGACCUUGUAGGUGACCUCACGGGCCC